GGGCGGUUGGCGCAGCGGUAGCGCGCUUCCCUGACACGGAAGAGGUCGCCAGUUCGAUCCUGGCAUCGCCCACCA
rnacentral:tRNA from 3 species